rnacentral:Y_RNA from 1 species
GGCUGGUCUAAAUGCAGUUGUGGUUACAAUCAAUUGAUCACAACCAGUUACAGAAUUCUUUGUUCCUUCUCUACUCCUACAACAUCACUUGACUGGCCUUAU